rnacentral:lncRNA from 1 species
CUAAGAGACCUACCGAUGCUCUGCUGCCUGGCCGGACGCUUGCCUGACGGUUGUUUGGUUGAUGUCCUAAGAAAGCACCUGGCUCAGGCAUGCUCGUGUGGCUCAGGCCUCCAAAUUCGGUCAGCUGAAUACGUAUGAGACCAACGCCUGCCUGAUGAAUAAUCCAUUUAUUUAAUCUAAAAGCACAACAGUCUGAGAGAUGGACUUGCUUCCCAUGGCCCGCCUCAUGAUAUUUUAAUAUUCAUCAGGCUACAAACAAUCGGUUUUGCAACUAGCCUGACCACGCAAAAAGCAUCACGUACCUUUCCAGGCAAUGAUAUUUCUCAGGCACGGUGUUCAGCACAUGAACCAAACCAGCUCCCUAGCUAGUCUUUCAUCUAGGCUGAAAGACCACAUCCACUUGAGAAAUUAAUCCAUUGCAUUAUAACCAUGGGCAUGAACCAAACAACCCCGUGGUCUUUCGUCUAAGCCGAAAGACCACAUCCAUUUUGUGACACGUGAGAAAUCAAUUCACUGCAUUAUAACCAUGAUUAUUAUUUUUUUUUUUCUUAUUUUUUAUGCUUUGAGUUUUGAAGACUAAUCUAUACACGUGACAUAUCAUGCGGAGGGUCUCUCAAGAGACCAGUUCUCUCUUAAGAUUAUUUUUCACGUAUACCCUUGCCAUGCACCGGUUUCAUGCAUGCAUACGAUCGAUCGAGGAGGGCGCAUUUGACCAGAGGCACGAUUCAUUGCGCAGGGCGGUCACAUGAGAUGGAUAGACAGACAUAUGCAUUGAUCGUUCAAGACAUAAUGAUGAUUAUUGGUUCUUCGGCCGAGUUUCCACUAUCGGAUUAAGCCGCGGCUGCGUGAAGAGGCCAGCGGGCAGCGUGCAUACCAGGCCGAGCCCAAUCAUCACCACACUUUUUUUUUGAAAGUGGUGUUAUAUUAAUCAAGAUUCAGUACGAUUACAAUCACAGUCCAUCUGGUGCACCGCGCAGGGAGGCACAGAUCCUUGCAUCACACCACCACACGACACACUAGCACUAAACUUAGCUAAUUCAUGCGCCACACAAUUGUUCGAUCGUUUGGUAUGCUGAAAACGAAUGCCUGGAUCGAAAGGAGCAUAGUGGAGAAUUUCAUUAAUAACCGGUCUGAUUUGCGAUCUACCCUCAUCCGCAUUACGGAUUGCCAUCACAAGUGACAGGCAGUCACUUUCCACCAUGAGCGGAAGGGUGGAGAAAG